rnacentral:rRNA from 1 species
GCAAGUCGAACGGUAACAUGAAUUAUCUUGCUACUUUGCUGACGAGUGGCGCACGGGUGCGUAACGCGUAUGCAAUCUACCUUGUACUGAGGGAUACCCUUUGGAAACGAAGAAUAACCCCUCAUAGUAUCAUUAAAUGGCAUCGUUUGAUGAUUAAAGGUUACGGUACAAGAUGAGCAUGCGUUCUAUUAGCUAGAUGGUGAGGUAACGGCUUACCAUGGCUACGAUAGAUAGGGGUCCUGAGAGGGAGAUC